UGAACGCUGGCGGCGUGCCUAACACAUGCAAGUCGAACGAAACUGAUUUCAUGAAACUUCGGUAGAUUGGAUGAAAGUUGAGUGGCGGACGGGUGAGUAACACGUGGGCAACCUGCCUCACAGAGGGGGAUAGCAGUUGGAAACGACUGAUAAUACCGCAUAAGCACACAGUACCGCAUGGUACAGGGUGAAAAGAUUUAUCACUGUGAGAUGGACCCGCGUCUGAUUAGCCAGUUGGCAGGGUAACGGCCUACCAAAGCGACGAUCAGUAGCCGACCUGAGAGGGUGACCGGCCACAUUGGGACUGAGACACGGCCCAAACUCCUACGGGAGGCAGCAGUGGGGAAUAUUGCACAAUGGAGGAAACUCUGAUGCAGCGACGCCGCGUGAGUGAAGAAGUAAUUCGUUAUGUAAAGCUCUAUCAGCAGGGAAGAUAGUGACGGUACCUGACUAAGAAGCUCCGGCUAAAUACGUG
rnacentral:rRNA from 1 species